UAACUGAUUAGGAAAAGUGCGCAUAAUCUUAAUAAUUGUUAGUGUACAGUUCUGUCACUCGCAAUCCCUACUUCACUAUAAAUAGACCUUAUUACUAUCAGCUCUUCAACCUUAUCAAAAACAAACUUAAAUUUUCUCUUUAUUAGUAGUUCAGUAAUUUCCUCGUCUUCUUCUUCAUUCUCUUCUUUCAGCGACCAUGUCUGGCUGUGGAGAAAUCAUGUCGUGCAGCAUUAGCUGCGGAGGGUGCAAGAUAUACCCAAGCUUUGAUGAGAGCUCUAACACUCAAAGCUUUAUUGUUGGUGUUGCUCCUCGUACAUCGCGUGGAUCAGGGAUCAAGGCAGAAGGGGAUGAUGACGAUGACACCCCUACUUUCUUUCAUGUUUAGGUGCAUCAAUUGACGGAUGCAGAAAGACGGUUACGAAUAUCUAGUUUUCAAUGUUGUUGUAAAAAUGAAGUUGGAUAUGCGUGUGGUUGUUUACAACCAUUCCUACUCUUUCAUGUUGUUUAGUUUCGAUUUUCUUUUUCUUGUUAUCUCAAGAAAAGAAAAUUUGUGUUGCUUGUGGUAUGUUUGGCUUUGGGUUUAUUAUUAAUCUUAUUAACAAAA